rnacentral:rRNA from 1 species
GGGUUGUGAGGUUAAGCGACUAAGCGUACACGGUGGAUGCCCCGGCAGUCAGAGGCGAUGAAGGACGCUAAUCUGCGAUAAGCGUCGGUAAGGUGAUAUGAACCGUUAUAACCGGCGAUUUCCGAAUGGGGAAACCCAGUGUGUUUCGACACACUAUCAUUAACUGAAUCCAUAGGUUAAUGAGGCGAACCGGGGGAACUGAAACAUCUAAGUACCCCGAGGAAAAGAAAUCAACCGAGAUUCCCCCAGUAGCGGCGAGCGAACGGGGAGCAGCCCAGAGCCUGAAUCAGUGUGUGUGUUAGUGGAAGCGUCUGGAAAGGCGCGCGAUACAGGGUGACAGCCCCGUACACAAAAAAACACAUGCUGUGAGCUCGAUGAGUAGGGCGGGACACGUGGUAUCCUGUCUGAAUAUGGGGGGACCAUCCUCCAAGGCUAAAUACUCCUGACUGACCGAUAGUGAACCAGUACCGUGAGGGAAAGGCGAAAAGAACCCCGGCGAGGGGAGUGAAAAAGAACCUGAAACCGUGUACGUACAAGCAGUGGGAGCCUCUUUUAUGGGGUGACUGCGUACCUUUUGUAUAAUGGGUCAGCGACUUAUAUUCUGUAGCAAGGUUAACCGAAUAGGGGAGCCGAAGGGAAACCGAGUCUUAACUGGGCGUUAAGUUGCAGGGUAUAGACCCGAAACCCGGUGAUUCAGCCAUGGGCAGGUUGAAGGUUGGGUAACACUAACUGGAGGACCGAACCGACUAAUGUUGAAAAAUUAGCGGAUGACUUGUGGCUGGGGUGAAAGGCCAAUCAAACCGGGAGAUAGCUGGUUCUCCCCGAAAGCUAUUUAGGUAGCGCCUCGUGAAUUCAUCUCCGGGGUAGAGCACUGUUUCGGCAAGGGGUCAUCCCGACUUACCAACCCGAUGCAAACUGCGAAUACCGGAGAAUGUUAUCACGGGAGACACACGGCGGGUGCUAACGUCCGUCGUGAAGAGGGAAACAACCCAGACCGCCAGCUAAGGUCCCAAAGUCAUGGUUAAGUGGGAAACGAUGUGGGAAGGCCCAGACAGCCAGGAUGUUGGCUUAGAAGCAGCCAUCAUUUAAAGAAAGCGUAAUAGCUCACUGGUCGAGUCGGCCUGCGCGGAAGAUGUAACGGGGCUAAACCAUGCACCGAAGCUGCGGCAGCGACGCUGAUGCGUUGUUGGGUAGGGGGGAGCGUUCUGUAAGCCUGUGAAGGUGUGCUGUGAGGCAUGCUGGAGGUAUCAGAAGUGCGAAUGCUGACAUAAGUAACGAUAAAGCGGGUGAAAAGCCCGCUCGCCGGAAGACCAAGGGUUCCUGUCCAACGUUAAUCGGGGCAGGGUGAGUCGACCCUAAGGCGAGGCCGAAAGGCGUAGUCGAUGGGAAACAGGUUAAUAUUCCUGUACUUGGUGUUACUGCGAAGGGGGGACGGAGAAGGCUAUGUUGGCCGGGCGACGGUUGUCCCGGUUUAAGCGUGUAGGCUGGUUUUCCAGGCAAAUCCGGAAAAUCAAGGCUGAGGCGUGAUGACGAGGCACUACGGUGCUGAAGCAACAAAUGCCCUGCUUCCAGGAAAAGCCUCUAAGCAUCAGGUAACAUCAAAUCGUACCCCAAACCGACACAGGUGGUCAGGUAGAGAAUACCAAGGCGCUUGAGAGAACUCGGGUGAAGGAACUAGGCAAAAUGGUGCCGUAACUUCGGGAGAAGGCACGCUGAUAUGUAGGUGAAGUCCCUCGCGGAUGGAGCUGAAAUCAGUCGAAGAUACCAGCUGGCUGCAACUGUUUAUUAAAAACACAGCACUGUGCAAACACGAAAGUGGACGUAUACGGUGUGACGCCUGCCCGGUGCCGGAAGGUUAAUUGAUGGGGUUAGCGGUAACGCGAAGCUCUUGAUCGAAGCCCCGGUAAACGGCGGCCGUAACUAUAACGGUCCUAAGGUAGCGAAAUUCCUUGUCGGGUAAGUUCCGACCUGCACGAAUGGCGUAAUGAUGGCGGGCUGUCUCCACCCGAGACUCAGUGAAAUUGAACUCGCUGUGAAGAUGCAGUGUACCCGCGGCAAGACGGAAAGACCCCGUGAACCUUUACUAUAGCUUGACACUGAACAUUGAGCCUUGAUGUGUAGGAUAGGUGGGAGGCUUUGAAGUGUGGACGCCAGUCUGCAUGGAGCCGACCUUGAAAUACCACCCUUUAAUGUUUGAUGUUCUAACGUUGACCCGUAAUCCGGGUUGCGGACAGUGUCUGGUGGGUAGUUUGACUGGGGCGGUCUCCUCCUAAAGAGUAACGGAGGAGCACGAAGGUUGGCUAAUCUGGUCGGACAUCAGGAGGUUAGUGCAAUGGCAUAAGCCAGCUUGACUGCGAGCGUGACGGCGCGAGCAGGUGCGAAAGCAGGUCAUAGUGAUCCGGUGGUUCUGAAUGGAAGGGCCAUCGCUCAACGGAUAAAAGGUACUCCGGGGAUAACAGGCUGAUACCGCCCAAGAGUUCAUAUCGACGGCGGUGUUUGGCACCUCGAUGUCGGCUCAUCACAUCCUGGGGCUGAAGUAGGUCCCAAGGGUAUGGCUGUUCGCCAUUUAAAGUGGUACGCGAGCUGGGUUUAGAACGUCGUGAGACAGUUCGGUCCCUAUCUGCCGUGGGCGCUGGAGAACUGAGGGGGCUGCUCCUAGUACGAGAGGACCGGAGUGGACGCAUCACUGGUGUUCGGGUUGUCAUGCCAAUGGCACUGCCCGGUAGCUAAAUGCGGAAGAGAUAAGUGCUGAAAGCAUCUAAGCACGAAACUUGCCCCGAGAUGAGUUCUCCCUGACUCCUUGAGAGUCCUGAAGGAACGUUGAAGACGACGACGUUGAUAGGCCGGGUGUGUAAGCGCAGCGAUGCGUUGAGCUAACCGGUACUAAUGAACCGUGAGGCUUAACCUUACAACGCCGAAG